GCGUGAGUGAUGAAGGCCCUAGGGUUGUAAAGCUCUUUUGCCCGCGACGAUAAUGACUGUAGCGGGAGAAUAAGCCCCGGCUAACUUCGUGCCAGCAGCCGCGGUAAUACGAAGGGGGCUAGCGUUGCUCGGAAUCACUGGGCGUAAAGCGCGCGUAGGCGGACGAUUAAGUCGGGGGUGAAAUCCUGGGGCUCAACCCUAGAACUGCCUUCGAUACUGAUCGUCUCGAGUCCGGGAGAGGUGAGUGGAACUCCGAGUGUAGAGGUGAAAUUCGU
rnacentral:rRNA from 1 species